GGUCCUGUAGCUCAGUUGGUAGAACAAGGCGCUUGCAACGUCAGGAUAGUGGGUUAGAUUCCCAGGACCA
rnacentral:tRNA from 1 species